UCAAAUCAAACUUUAUUUAUAUAGCACAUUUCCUUCAACAGGUGAAAAUUAAAUGUGCUUUACAAAAAAGGGACAAACCACUAACUAAUGAAAACAAAAUUAAUGAAAUGUGACAUCAUAUACAAACAAAGAACCAAAUAAACACAACCAGACGCAGAGAGGUAGCCUAUAAUUUUGAGAAGCAAUGGUUAGAAUCAUUCGUAGUGUGGGAAUUUACAAGCGCGCAUAUUAGUGAAUAUUCCUACAAACACACAGAGAAUGUAAUACAGCACACAAUCAACGAAAAAACAUUAGCUUAACUAAAUAAACACUGAUAUUCCAACUAAACUACAUGCAACUCAUCAAUAACAAUGCCUCAAUCUGAACUAGGCUAGGUCUGUUUAGCUAAGUGGUUAUUUUAUUGCUAUUUCCCGAACUUACUUAGAGUAUGCUAAUAUCGAUUGUGCAAGGACAUCAGUUUUAGAAUCCUAGCCUACACGCCAGGCAUGAGCUAUUUAUUACGAAUAUGAUCGAAAAACAUACAGUCUGCCUGAUACUUCUAACACAACCAGACGCAGAGAGCCUAGCCUAUAAUUCUGAGAUGCAAUAGUUCGAAUCGUUCGUAGUGUGGGAAUUUACAAACGCGCACAUUGCUGGGUAUUCCUACAAACACACAGAUACGUUGCAAUACAGUAGACAUAUUUACCAAUAUGAUCAUAAGAAAUAUACUUACGCAUGAAGUUGAUCCUCAGCUGGAUCAGUUCGCUGUUCGAAAAGACACCGCUCUUCAUCAGUGUCGGCUUCCGGACGGACCAUUUUCCAAAAUUAAACGAAAUGUUCACCUCAAAAGAAGUGAAUUAGGCGACACUCUGUGACAUUCUAUCCCGCUUUUGACUUGGCAUUUCUCACAUGGAUCUCGCAUCGCCCCUCCUUUAGUCUCCUUCUAUGGAGACUAAUUAUAAUGUUGUUAACAUGUGAAUGCGAUUUGGGCGGACUUCCUGCUGAGCGAAAUUCACAUAGUAAUGAGUAAAGUUUAGCGAAGCAUACAUGAUCUAAUUAAUCAAAUUUGGAACAUUUAAAACAAUGUAUAUUAUUUGCCAAUGGGCGCAUUGGAAAGUCGCGAUUCUAAGGUUUCUGUCAAUGUUUUUGUUGCGUCUGUAUGAUAACAGCACGUGAAGUUAAUCAUCCAAACAAAAGUUAAUUUAAUCUUGUCGAGCUCCGCCGGCGGAGCUCUCGACCCCAGAGGGUUAAAUAAAGUGGGGGUUUCCUUCUCCCACUCUUAAGUGUGGCGGUUCCGUUUAUCAGUAGUCUAAUUGCAUCACGACAGAGUUAAUCUGAUGGAGUAUGCUGAGAAUAUGUAUUUAGUCCCCCAACGACAGUUGGAUAGAUUAAGGGAUAACAAUGCCCCCUUACCUCUAAGACGGACUGCGGAAAACGACUUGGAUGCCUCUAUAAAGAAUGUUUUGAGUAGAGAUGAUUUGGAGAAAGCCAAACAAUACACAUCAUUAUUGCAUAGAUACUUGUCCUUGGUUAAGCAGGGGGAACUUGAAACUAAUACUUUAACUCUGGCUGUACCGACACCUUCUGUAAAGAAUGAUGCAGAGCAGACUUUACCAGGAACACAAGCCGUCACUGUCGAUGUGGAGGGGGAUAAUGUGUUUAAAGAAGUUUUGAAAAACAUGCCAUUGAGAAACAGAAAGAAUGCUCAAUACAUUUUAGAUUAGAUGUUUCAAUCGAAAGACGUGGCUUCGUGGAAUGAGUCAGGCAAAUUUAUUUUAAGUGUGUUAAAGAUGCAAUCAAUUCAUUUAAAAACACUAGCGCAUCUGGUUACGCAACACCCGCAAGAACCCCAGAAACUCCUAUGUUUAGGUCUCUGAUUUUGGACACAGCCUCCUGGCUCACCUUUUGAAAUGUACUGUUAUGAAUGUGUAGCAUUUUCUGUCUUUUGUUUUUAUUAUUUAUUUAUUUUAUUUUUUUUACUGUGAAAUGUGUUUUUAUUUUCUUUCUAUGAAAUGUGUCUUUAUUCUCACUAUGAAAUGUAUUUUGUAUAUUUAUUAACAUUGUUAAUAAAUGAAACUUUGACUUGUAUAA